rnacentral:sRNA from 1 species
GCUAGGGAGCACACCCCUUCUGAGGGCUCGAGACCUCCCUGGGUGGAGCAGAACUGCAGCGGCUGCAGGUCCCGGAGAGUCUGGGAGAGGUCGAGGUUGACAGAGGAGAUGGGUAGGGGGCGCGGGCGCCAGGGGCGAUGGAAGCGGCGACGAUGCCAGGCCGGGUGGGUGCGCUCCAGUGUGAAACUUACAAGUCUCUGAGCACACAAAGAGAUAAGAUUCCAAGGGAAAAUUAAAGAACCGAAGAAAAGGAGAGUGAAACUCCAGGAAACUCCGAGGUCAGGAAUUUGGGGGAAGCUAGGGGAAAAGGGACUUCUCCGAGAACUCGUAGCGCGGAGGAGGGGACGCCUGAGGAGCCGCAGUCUCCAGGAGAGCGAACCGUGGAACCUCUGGAGUAUUACAGGAGAUUUCUGAAAGAGAACUGCCGUCCUGAUGGAAGAGAACUUGGUGAAUUCAGAACCACAACUGUCAACAUCGGUUCAAUUAGUACCGCAGAUGGUUCUGCUUUAGUGAAGUUGGGAAAUACUACAGUAAUUUGUGGAGUUAAAGCAGAAUUUGCAGCACCACCAACAGAUGCCCCUGAUAAAGGAUACGUUGUUCCUAAUGUGGAUCUACCACCCCUGUGUUCAUCGAGAUUCCGGUCUGGACCUCCUGGAGAAGAGGCCCAAGUGGCUAGCCAGUUCAUUGCAGAUGUCAUUGAAAAUUCACAGAUAAUUCAGAAAGAGGACUUAUGCAUUUCUCC